GUGGGGAAUUUUGGACAAUGGGGGCAACCCUGAUCCAGCAAUGCCGCGUGCAGGAAGAAGGCCUUCGGGUUGUAAACUGCUUUUGUACGGAACGAAACGGUCUGGGUUAAUACCCUGGGCUAAUGACGGUACCGUAAGAAUAAGCACCGGCUAACUAUGUGCCAGCAGCCGCGGUAAUACGUAGGGUGCGAGCGUUAAUCGGAAUUACUGGGCGUAAAGCGUGCGCAGGCGGUGUUGUAAGACAGGCGUGAAAUCCCCGGGCUCAACCUGGGAAUGGGGCUUGUGACUGCAAAGCUGGAGUGCGGCAGAGGGGGAUGGAAUUCCGCGUGUAGCAGUGAAAUGCGUAGAUAUGCGGAGGAACACCGAUGGCGAAGGCAAUCCCCUGGGCCUGCACUGACGCUCAUGCACGAAAGCGUGGGGAGCAAACAGGAUUAGAAACCCUUGUAGUCC
rnacentral:rRNA from 1 species